GUGGCCGGGGCGGGGAGGCGAGGAGGAAGAACUUGGAAAGAUGUCUGCAUUCUGCAUGGUGAAAGCUGAGUCUGCAGAGUGUUUAAAGGAAAAUACUUGCAGACAACAAGUAAGGUAUGAAAUGAAGAAUAGUGUGUCUGAUCUGAAGUGGAGAGGGAAUGCAAAUAUGUGUAUCACCCAACUUUGCCUGAUUGACAUAGCAAGUUAAAACUGCAAGCCGUGAGUAUUUUUCUACACAUCGGUGAGAUGAUUUUAAGAAUAUUACAUGAAUUAAUUGCUGAAGUAAUAUUUAAUUUAUAAAAGGUAUCAUGGAUACCAUUUUACCAUAAACAGCUUGAUUGUUAAUAUGAAAUAAUCUUUUGUCAGUAAUAAUCUUAGAUACUAUGACUAGAGGGGAAAAAUAUUGAUUGUUUUUACAGAUUAUAAAAGCAUACAUUAGUAUAUUGUAUACCUGCUGUAAGAAUUUGUUUCAUUUGGUUAAAAUUAGUAAAUAUGGGUAGACAUGAACUUUCUGGCUGGUUUUGCCGUCCAUACUCACUGAGCUCCUUUUCCUUCUAAACCCAUUUUAGUUCAUUUCAUCUUUUCCCAGCUUUCAAAUCAUAGAUAAGGGGAAUGCUCUUCUACCCCCAGAAAUGUGCAUUCUAUAUACCAGAUUAUGAGUUUGAUUAGAGAAGUAAAAUUCAACAAAACAUGAAAGUUGUCAAAAAAAUUUAAUAAAAGUUGACACUAAAAAUAAGGUUGUUUCAACUGAGCUCGUAGGGUAGAUGUUCUGUAGGUACUCCUAUGUUUUUGUUUUCUUAGAGACCAUAAUAAUCAUAUUAAGAUCCCAGUGAGCAUAAACAGCAAUUAAAUAUGAUGUAAGAGGGAGACUGAAGGAUAGUUAAAUGAU
rnacentral:lncRNA from 1 species